CGAAUAGAAUGAUGAAGACGCCAAAGAGCAUGGUCAGGCUGCCGCAUUGUGUGAAUCGUUUUAAGGGCUGCAUGUUGAUUUUUAGAACUUUCACUAGCACUCAGAUAACCUUGCACGCGUUAAAUUCUCACGCACUAAGCUGAAAGCUGCCCAACUAUUUGACUCAAGCCGUUAGGCAAUUUUAUGCAAAUUUUUCACACCAAAAUUAUUUCCGCUCGAAGAAGUUAAGGCCGCACGAAACUCAAAGAAGCCAAACCAAACCAAGCCAAGUCAAGUCAAGCCAAGCCAAGACAAGCCAAGAAGUUGGCAAGCGAGCGUCACUCUUGCACUCUUUCUCCAGUCACUUGUUUUGGUUGUAGUAUAGUAUAUAUGUAUAUAUUUCAGAAUUUUUUAUUGUUUACUUCAAAAAUUGUGUAUCAACGCUUA